AGCAGCCGCGGUAAUUCCUGCUCCAAUAGCGUAUAUUAAAGUUGUUGCAGUUAAAAAGCUCGUAGUUGAAUUUCGGGACUAACAGAUUGGUCGCGCCUUUGGUGUGUACUGGUCUAGUUGGUUUCUCCCUUCUGUCGAACCACGAUGUCAUUAGUUUGGUGUCGUGGGAAAUCAGGACUGUUACUUUAGAAAAAAUUAGAGUGUUUAAAGCAAGCGCUAGCUUGAAUACAUUAGCAUGGAAUAAUGAAAUAGGACGUUUGACCCUAUUUUGUUGGUUUCUAGGAUUGACGUAAUGAUUAAUAGGGAUAGUUGGGGGCAUUAGUAUUCAAUUGUCAGAGGUGAAAUUCUUGGAUUUAUUGAAGACUAACUACUGCGAAAGCAUUUGCCAAGGAUGUU
rnacentral:misc_RNA from 1 species